AUAAGACUCAAAAGGUUGGAGUGAAGAUGGUCAAUGAUCUGACUCUUGACUCUUUCUCAUCGUUUUAUCAUGCAAAAGCUUGAUGUAGGCAUACUGAAUAUCUUUGAUCAAUUACACAGAGAGGCUCUGGUGGAGACUGCUCGCAAUGUGAUGGUCUGGAAGGAAUUUACAACGUAGGCUUCCCAGUGUAAGGACUAUCCUAAUAUUGGAAGGAUGCUUUUGAAAUUUCAAGAUAUGACACUGCCACAUUACAAAACUUCACAUUGGCAGGAAAGCUCACUGCAGUCUUGGGUUCAAUAGGGUCGGAAUGCAAACAGUGCUGGAGCCGCUGAAAUACUGAAGGAA